rnacentral:rRNA from 1 species
GACGAACGCUGGCGGCGUGCCUAAUACAUGCAAGUAGAACGCAGUUGCGAACGGGUGAGUAACGCGUAGGUAACUGCCUGGUAGCGGGGGAUAACUAUUGGAAACGCUAGCUAAUACCGCAUACUACCAGAUGGACCUGCGUUGUAUUAGCUAGAUGGUGAGGUCAAGGACCACCAAGGCAACGAAACAUAGCCGAGCUGGGAGGGAGGUCAGCCCAACGGGGGAUAGAGAACGGGCCAAGCUUCUUCUGGAGGCAGCCGUAGGGGAUCUUUGGCAAAGGGGGGAACCUUGGCCGGGCAACGCCGCGUGGGGGAAGAAGGUUUUCGGAUCGUAAAGCUCUGUUGUUGAGGAAGCGGUACUUAACCAGAAAGGGACGGCUAACUACGUGCCAGCCGCCGCGGUAAUAC